rnacentral:snRNA from 1 species
GCUCUCAUUUUGGCCUCACAUAUACUAAAAUUGGAACAAUACAGAGAUUAACAUGGCCCUUGUGCAAGGAUGACAUGCAAAUUUGUGAAGCAUUCUAUAAUUUU